UACGGAAGGUCCGGGCGUUAUCCGGAUUUAUUGGGUUUAAAGGGAGCGCAGGCGGCAUGUCAAGCGUGACGUUAAAUCUCGGGGCUCACCCCCGUUAUGCGUCGCGAACUGUCGUGCUUGAGUUCGUGGCAGGAAGGCGGAAUUCGCGGUGUAGCGGUGAAAUGCUUAGAUAUCGCGAGGAACUCCGAUAGCGCAGGCAGCCUUCCGUUGCGCAACUGACGCUCAUGCUCGAAGGUGCGGGUAUCGAACA
rnacentral:rRNA from 1 species